rnacentral:rRNA from 1 species
GGACUACCAGGGUAUCUAAUCCUGUUUGCUCCCCACGCUUUCGCGUCUCAGCGUCAGUCACUGUCCAGAAGGCCGCCUUCGCCACCGGUGUUCCUCUCGAUAUCUACGAAUUUCACCUCUACACCGAGAAUUCCGCCUUCCUCUCCAGGACUCAAGCUUUGCAGUUUCGAAUGCACUUCCUAGGUUGAGCCCAGGGCUUUCACAUCCGACUUGCAGAGCAGCCUACACGCGCUUUACGCCCAGUAAUUCCGAACAACGUUUGCACCCUCUGUCUUACCGCGGCUGCUGGCAC